ensembl:lincRNA uncharacterized LOC102029918
UUAUUUCAGGUUUGGUUUGGAGACUCCUGAGUUAAGCCACAAACACAUUGCCUUUUGCUGCAGCCACAGAUAUGUUGCUGCAUGUUCAUGAUAACAUCGCCCAGUCUGGAGGAGUGUGCAUGAUAGCCAUGGGAUCCACUGAUCAACUUGCAUUCAAAAUCCAGUUACAUUAUUUUCCAUUAGGGAUGGCCUGGAUCCUGCCAUGUAAAUCAAAGAAGAGAGGGUCUGACUCAGCCGCCUAGCCUGGGUCACCUGGAACCCAUUAUGAUACAGAAUCAUAAACACCUCCAUUUUCCCUUCGGAGAGAGACCAGAACCACUGAAGUUAAGCUACCUGCAUAAGAGUUGAGUGCGAUCAGCUGUACUUAAUCUUUAAAUGUCCAACCCACUGAUAACCUUUGGUUUGCUUUGAUAACUAUGAAAUAAAUUCUCACUGCAUUGGAUACCGGCAUUCUGGUUUCUAUUCAAGGCUGGGGUGCAGAUGUCAUGG